rnacentral:rRNA from 1 species
CCAGUACCGUAAACCGACACAGGUGGGUGGGUCGAGUAGACCAAGGCGCGCGAGAGAAACCUCUCUAAGGAACUCGGCACAUUAGCCCCGUAACUUCGGGAGAAGGGGUGCCUGCUUAGCAGGUCUCAGUAAAUUGCGUUUAGCGACUGUUUAACAAAAACACAGCACUCUGCCAAGUCGUGAAGACGACGUAUAGGGUGUGACACGUGACCAAUGCGGAAAGAUCAAGGCAACUUGUUAGCCGUAAGGCGAAGCUCGGAACCUAAGUCCCCGUGAAUGUCGGCCGUAACUAUAACGGUCCUAAGGUAGCGAAAUUCCUUGUCGGGUAAGUUCCGACCUGCACGAAUCGUGUAACGACUGAACGACUGUCUCGGAGAGGAUCUCGGCGAAACUGUAACGGCGGUGAAGAUGCCGCCUGCCCGCAGUAGGACGGAAAGACCCUAUGCACCUUUACUGUAAGCUCGUAUUGGGUUCUGAUUAAUAAUGCUUAGCGUAGGUGGGAGACUUUGAAGGCGUGGCUUCGGUUGCGCUGGAGUCGAAAUGUGAAACACCACUCUUUGUUAAUUAGGAUUCUAACCUCGAUUCCUGUGAAACCAGGCGAGGGACAGUGCGUGCGGGUCAGUUUGACUGGGGCGGUUUCCUCCCAAAGAGUAACGGAGGAGCGCGAAGGUACUCUCAGCACGGUUUGCAACCGUGCGUCGAGCGUAUGGGUAGAAGAGUGCUUAACUGUGAGACAUACAAGUCGAGCAGGUACGAAAGUAGGCCCAAAUGAUCCGAUAGUUUAAUGUGGAAUUGCUAUCGCUCAACGGACAAAAGGUACGCUAGGGAUAACAGGCUGAUCGCCGCCAAGAGUUCAUAUCGACGCGGCGGUUUGGCACCUCGAUGUCGGCUCAUCGCAUCCUGGGGCUGGAGAAGGUCCCAAGGGUCCGGCUGUUCGCCGGUUAAAGCGGUACGCGAGCUGGGUUCAGAACGUCGUGAGACAGUUCGGUCCUUAUCCACUGUGGGCGAAGGAAACUUGAGGGGUUCAUUCUCUAGUACGAGAGGACCGAGAAUGACGCACUUCUGGUGUGGCAGUUAUUCCGUCAGGGGUAGCGCUGCGUAGCCAUGUGCGGAAGAGAUAAGCGCUGAAAGCAUCUAAGUGCCAAGCUCAUCCCAAGAUAAUGUUUCCCGGACGCAAGUCCCUAAAGACCCCAGCGAGACUAGCUGGUUGAUAGGUUAGGCGUGUAAGUGGAGUAAUCCAUUCAGCGGACUAAUACUAAUCGGUCGUGCGGCUUGAUCGC